rnacentral:rRNA from 1 species
AUGGUUCGAGAGGAGGUAGCAGGAUCCACUCAAACACUACAGUGGAAGUGUGUUGAAUCAAGAGUAGAUAGUAAGCGCCUUUAUUAUGGUCGUUUCAUUCUGUCCCCGCUUAGAAAAGGUCAAGCGGACACCGUCGGUAUUGCCUUGAGAAGAGCUUUACUUGGAGAAAUAGAAGGAACAUGUAUCACACGUGCAAAAUUUGGGAGCGUGCCGCACGAAUAUUCUACAAUAGCAGGUAUUGAAGAAUCCGUACAAGAAAUUUUACUAAAUUUGAAAGAAAUUGUAUUGAGAAGUAAUCUCUAUGGAGUUAGAGACGCAUCCAUUUGCGUCAAAGGUCCUAGAUACAUAACUGCUCAAGAUAUCAUCUUACCGCCUUCCGUAGAAAUCGUUGAUACGGCACAACCUAUAGCUAACUUGACAGAGCCCAUUGAUUUCUGUAUUGAUUUACAGAUCAAGAGAGAUCGUGGAUAUCAGACAGAACUCAGAAAGAACUAUCAAGAUGGAAGUUAUCCUAUAGAUGUUGUAUCCAUGCCUGUUCGAAAUGUGAAUUAUAGUAUUUUUUCUUGUGGGAAUGGAAAUGAAAAACAAGAGAUACUUUUUCUAGAAAUAUGGACUAAUGGAAGUCUAACCCCUAAGGAAGCACUUUAUGAGGCUUCUCGUAAUUUGAUUGAUUUAUUUCUUCCUUUUCUACACGCGGAGGAAGAGGGCGCUAGUUUCGAAGAAAAUAAAAACAGGUUUACUCCACCCCUUUUUACUUUUCAAAAAAGAUUAACUAAUCUAAAGAAAAACAAAAAAGGAAUUCCAUUGAAUUGUAUUUUUAUUGAUCAAUUAGAAUUGACUUCUAGAACGUAUAAUUGUCUAAAAAGGGCCAAUAUACAUACACUAUUGGACCUUUUGAGUAAGACUGAAGAAGAUCUUCUGAGAAUUGACAGUUUUCGUAUGGAAGAUAGAAAACAUAUAUGGGACACUCUAGAGAAGCAUCUCCCAAUUGAUUUACUUAAGAAUAAACUCUCGUUUUAA